CAAUCAUCUACUGUGAAUAUAGACAUGCUAGAUAGUAUAUAUAUUUUUUAGCAGGUAGUAAACAACAAACUCAAUCUCCUAAACCCACUAAACUACCAAAUAAGUAAUAAUAAAUACCAACAAAGGUGAUACUUAGACAAACAACAUAGACUAGUGGGACUAUAUAUGAUAACUAUAACAGUAUUGAUGCCAACCUCUGUUGUAGUGAUACCUCUGACCUGUACGCAGAUUUUGGUGUAGUUCCCCUUUAAGUGUUUCAGCGGCGAUAGGUGGGAGAGAGGGCGGGACUUCGGCCGUUAGUGGCGCGAGUUACAGAAAAUGACGCCGGGGUGGGUGAGGGACCCCGGUGGUGAUACAUGACUUAAUUGUUUUUAUUAACUGUGACAAGUCAGAAAUAGUUUAGCAGUAUUAAAAAAACACGACGAUAAAAACCCUCAAAAAUUACCGAGGAAAGCAAAGAAGGAACUGUAUCACCGAGACAACCAACACCUGGCGACGACGACGACGUUGGUACGCUGCGGCUAGCUAAGGUGGCUAACUAGCAUUGGGCUCCCACACGUGAUCACUUUGGUACCGAGUUACAUAACGUGGUUGGACGAGGACAGUGAAGAUUCACCUCUGGUUUCAAAUGUAGGCGCGAUAGAAGCGCCUGGAUGUCCCUGACUGACGCUAUGACUGGCAUUGGCGAUGCCAACUAUGUCAGCUAUUGUACCGCGUUAAUGGACGACAACACACCAGUGUGCAACUGAAAGCACGUGGAGGAAAGUGUGCCAUACAACCAGAACCAAGGAAUCUUCUGACUGGGAGUAACUUUCACCUCAAUGGCUAAGGUUUUUCUUUCUUUGGCAAAUGUGGUGGGAAAGGACGGAGUGACAAAGCUUCAUCCAGAAUACCUCACUUCUCAACAUUACUCUGAUUCAUGAUGACUCAAAGCGACAACUGCAGCCUUCAACAAUGCUGGGCUUUGGACCUCCUCUCUCGGGACAUUGCUCCCUGAUGUCAGAGACCCUGGGUUCACUGGACUGACUGACUGACUUGGGACUACUGUCUUUUCUUCAAUAAUUCAUAAAACAGUAUCAAGUGCUUCAUUAAUAAACUAUUGCAAGCCCUGUAAAAAAACAAGACCUUGCAUCAUAUAAAGGCAGUAGUUUGCAUGGAAUUGUUUGUAAUAUUAUAUUUUAUUAUAUUUUCAAAGAUUCUGCACAAUCCUGCUCGGGGAGAACACAUUUAACUGAGUGGCAUUUGUUAGCGCAACACUCUAAAUGCCUCUGAAAACAUUCUCCAUAAUUUAUUGAAGGUAGCAUUGUGAAAAUUCCC
rnacentral:lncRNA from 1 species